CGGCGUGCAUAAUACAUGCAAGUCGAGCGGAUUUAUCCUUCGGAUAAGUUAGCGGCGGACGGGUGAGUAACACGUAGGUAACCUGCCUAUAAGAUCGGGAUAACUAUCGGAAACGAUAGCUAAGACCGGAUAACUGGUUUUCUCGCAUGAGAGAAUUAUGAAACACGGAGCAAUCUGUGGCUUAUAGAUGGGCCUGCGGCGCAUUAGCUAGUUGGUGAGGUAACGGCUCACCAAGGCGACGAUGCGUAGCCGACCUGAGAGGGUGAACGGCCACACUGGGACUGAGACACGGCCCAGACUCCUACGGGAGGCAGCAGUAGGGAAUCUUCCGCAAUGGACGCAAGUCUGACGGAGCAACGCCGCGUGAGUGAUGAAGGUUUUCGGAUCGUAAAGCUCUGUUGCCCUAGACGAACAGCAAGGAGAGUAACUGCUCUUUGUGUGACGGUAUAGGAGAAGAAAGCCCCGGCUAACUACGUGCCAGCAGCCGCGGUAAUACGUAGGGGGCAAGCGUUGUCCGGAAUUAUUGGGCGUAAAGCGCGCGCAGGCGGUCAAUUAAGUUGGGUGUUUAAGCCCGGGGCUCAACCCCGGUUCGCAUCCAAAACUGGUUGACUUGAGUGUAGGAGAGGAAAGUGGAAUUCCACGUGUAGCGGUGAAAUGCGUAGAGAUGUGGAGGAACACCAGUGGCGAAGGCGACUUUCUGGCCUAUAACUGACGCUGAGGCGCGAAAGCGUGGGGAGCAAACAGGAUUAGAUACCCUGGUAGUCCACGCCAUAAACGAUGCAUACUAGGUGUUGGGGAUUCGAUUCCUCGGUGCCGAAGUUAACACAGUAAGUAUGCCGCCUGGGGAGUACGCUCGCAAGAGUGAAACUCAAAGGAAUUGACGG
rnacentral:rRNA from 1 species